CUCUGCUCCGUUUCGCUAAAAUAUUUGGAAUUCUAAAAUUGCUUGGCAUGUAUGUGUUAUUUGUAUAGAGAUUUUGUUAUCUGGAUUAGUUUUUGGUGUUAAUUUUAGGAAAAUAAAAAUCUGAUCUAGAACUACUUUGUAGUUGUUCAUGAUUGUUCUUAUUAGUUGUUUGAUUGAUCUUGAGCUUUAUAUAUGUAAAGGAUCGAUCUAUUUUGAUGUGGUGAUUCGAUUUUUGUGUUUAUGUGAUUGACUUUUGUGGAAUUGAAGCUAUACAUAAUAUGUGAGCAAUUUGAUUUGAUUGUAACUGGAUUUUGUUGUGUGAUGUAUUGAUUUGAUUGUGAUUUAUGAAGCUCACUUUUGCGACGAAAGAGAUUGAUGUAACAGAAUGGAAAGGGGCAGGUGUUGGUGUUACGCAGAAGGACUUGGCGAAAGAUCAGAACUCGAAAUUCGAAAAUCUGAUAUUGAAGAAGCUGGAUUCCUGUUUGGGUGGGGUGUUGGCUGUGGUCUUGACUGAGGAGGACUUCACAGGAAAGUCUGGCUAGUCUACGGUUGUUAGGCUUCCUGGUCUUGGCUCGAAGAGGGUUGGCUUGUUUGGGCUUGGACAAUUUGGUUAGUCUACAGAAGCUUUUAAGGGUCUUGGGGAGGCUGCAGCAGCAGUGGCAAAGACUACUCAAGCAAGUGAUAUUGCUAUGUGCUUGCUUCCUCGGAGGGGCUUUCUGCGAAAUCUUGCAAAGCUUCUGCGAUAGCAUCUGGAGCAGUUUUGGGUAUAUAUGAAGACAAUAGGUAUAAAUCUGAGUCAAAGAAACAGCUCUUAAGUCUGUGGACAUUCUUGGUCUUGGAAUUGGACCUGAACUUGAGAAGAAGCUAGAGAAUGCUCAAGAUGUUGCUUCUGGAAUAAUACUUGGGAAAGAGCUCACAAAUUCACCUGCCAAUGUUCUCACACCUGGGAAACUAGCAGAAGAGGCCUCAAACAUUGCUUCCUUAUAUAGUGAUGUUCUACAUGUAGAGGUUCUGGGCUGUUGGUUGGGCUGAUUGGGAAAAGGUGAAGUUUUCAAAGGUUGAAUUGCUCCCAAAAGGCUUGGAAAUCCGGUUUCAAUUGCUUGCAAUAGGCUUGGAAAUCUGGUUUCUUUCACAGAAGGUAUGGCCUUCAGCAAUAUUAGUUGCUCUGUUUUUAUUUUCCUCCAGUUCAAUAUUGCUAUAUAAUCCCAGACUUGUACAAGUCAUAAUCUUUGCUACAUAACGAUGAUCUACUUUGUCAAGAAAAUUGGUUUAUUAGAUUAAAUAAAUAUGUUGGAUCAAUUGAAACAGAGUUCCUUAAUCUUUUAUCAUUCAUUUACUUUCCGGUAACAUGGAUCCAUUGACACCUGCAUCGCGUAAGGGAUUUGGAUGGAUAUCAAAGUAUCAAACUAUCUGCUCACCUGCGAACCAUACAAAUCAAGCAAAUUGAAACUUGAAGGGGGGAUGAAUUAUCUGCAUGAGCAUAAACCUGAAGCAAUAAUUCAUCGAGAUCUUGAGCCCUCGUAUGAUCUUUCUCUUUUUCUCUCAUCAUGUAUCAUGGCUGUAGUGGUUAAUAGAUGUGAACUAACAUAGUUGAAUUUAUAUACUGCCUAAUUAAUUUGAAAUUUGUUAAUUUUAGGUCUUGAUUCUUGAAGAACAACCAGAAUGUGACCCAUAAUUAUUUGUUUAUUAGGUUUUAGACAAAAGUGAGUGGGGGUCAAUUUGGGCACAAAUUGAUAAUUUCUUGUCUUUCUUUGGCUCUUUUUCUUUAGUUGCGUUAUAUUUGUUUUAACAGUGGAUUUUAUUCAUAUUUGCUGAGCAUGUAAAUCGUCAUGUACUUAUAUGCUGGCUUGAAUCAUGCACAUCAAUAACUAAAUGGUUGAAGUUUCUUAAUUGUUUGUGAGUAAGAUAUAAUGCCAUGAUCCAUAAGAAUGUUAUAUAUAUGAGUCCCUACUCGUGUUCCUGCUCCAACUCCUAUAUCAGAAGCUACAUAUGCUCUGACAAUACGCUUUCUAUUCUAUACAGCUCUCCUUUUAUUAUUCCUACAGCUACUCUUAGUCCUCCCAUUAACUACAGCCAAGACUACGCCUCUAUACCCUAUGGAGGUCAUUUAUCUCUAGGGGGUAAUUUCUGUUGUAUUUUGUUUUUCGUUGAAUUAGGCGCAAUCCUUAAUUCUUUAUAAAAGAUAUAACCAGUUCCAUUUUAUCUACUGGGUGGUCAUGCUAGAUCUUUGUGUUGAUAAAUACUGUACUUCUUGUGUUUCUCCAACAAUAUGGUUUAAUUAAGUUCUUUGUUUUCACAAGUGAUAGUGGUGGGAAGUACAUGAUUUUACAUGCUAUAGCUGAAUAGUUAUUCCACGUGUUCUGUUAGCUUAAUGAGCACUUUACUGGUAUAUCUUGCAGGGGGAUGAAUUAUCUGCAUGAGCAUAAACCUGAAGCAAUAAUUCAUCGAGAUCUUGAGCCCUCAAAUAUAUUGCGGGAUGAUUCUGGGCAUCUGAAAGUUGCAGACUUUGGGGUGAGCAAGCUACUGAUAGUCGCAAAGACAGUUAAAGAAGACAGGAUUUUGGCAUAGAUCAUGGUUGCAGAUGAACUUGUAGCAGAGUUUUCUGACCCUAUCAAUGGUGUCACAUCCCCUGAUCAAAUUGACGAGGUGCGCAUUGAAGUGGUUGAUUAUAUACAGAGUUUGAUGUAGGAAUGUGACUGCCAAGAUGUUUUUUGAGUAAGGCUAGCUAGUUUUGGCUUUGAAGCAAAGCUUGGUGUAGAACUUUUGUACAUUGUUGCUCAUAUGUUUCCAAGCUAGCUUUUGUAAGUUUAGGGGUUUAUUUUGUGAAUUAUGUUGAAUCAUGAAUUUGGAAAGAAAAUUAAUGGGAAAGCCCCUUAUU